CGGGGGCACGGGGGGCCUACGGGAGGCAGCAGUAAGGAAUAUUGGUCAAUGGGGGCAACCCUGAACCAGCCAUGCCGCGUGCAGGAUGACGGCCCUAUGGGUUGUAAACUGCUUUUAUACCAGAGAAAACCCGAGUACGUGUACUCGGUUGAUAGUAUGGUAAGAAUAAGCAUCGGCUAAUUCCGUGC
rnacentral:rRNA from 1 species